GUCGAACGGACAAGUAAGAGCUUGCUCUUAUGAGUUAGUGGCGCACGGGUGAGUAAUGUAUAGCUAAUCUGCCCUACACUAGAGGACAACAGUUGGAAACGACUGCUAAUACUCUAUACUCCUCUCUAGCAUAAGUUAGAUAGGGAAAGUUUUUCGGUGUAGGAUGAGGCUAUAUUGUAUCAGCUAGUUGGUGAGGUAAUGGCUCACCAAGGCUAUGACGCAUAACUGGUCUGAGAGGAUGAUCAGUCACACUGGAACUGAGACACGGUCCAGACUCCUACGGGAGGCAGCAGUAGGGAAUAUUGCUCAAUGGGGGAAACCCUGAAGCAGCAACGCCGCGUGGAGGAUGACACUUUUCGGAGCGUAAACUCCUUUUGUUAGGGAAGAACAAUGACGGUACCUAACGAAUAAGCACCGGCUAACUCCGUGCCAGCAGCCGCGGUAAUACGGAGGGUGCAAGCGUUACUCGGAAUCACUGGGCGUAAAGGACGCGUAGGCGGAUUAUCAAGUCUCUUGUGAAAUCCUAUGGCUUAACCAUAGAACUGCUUGGGAGACUGAUAAUCUAGAGUGAGGGAGAGGCAGAUGGAAUUGGUGGUGUAGGGGUAAAAUCCGUAGAGAUCACCAGGAACACCCAUUGCGAAGGCGAUCUGCUGGAACUCAACUGACGCUAAUGC
rnacentral:rRNA from 1 species